AGUUGUGAUCAAAGCUGGACCUUUUCAGAGAAGGUCUCGAAUCCUGAAGACAGACUUCGAGGGGAUGAUGCAGCAAGAAGACCCACACCAGAUGAGGGCGCCUUGAUAUUGGAUUUCCCAGCCUCCAGAACUACAGAGUCUUGCUCUGUCACUCGGGCUGGAGUACAGUGACACAAUCACGGUUCACUGCAGCCUGGACCUCCCAGGCUCAAGUGAUCCCCCUGCUGCAGCCUCCUGAGUAGCUGGGACUACAGGCCUGUGCCACCAUGUCCAGGUCCGGUCCACUGCUAGGAGAUCCAUAUCUACUCUUUGGGAGUUCUCCAGAGGAAAAAAUCAACAGGCGGGAGAAAGAUACUCUGCUAGCUUCAGAUUCAUUAGUACUAGGAAAUGGAGAGAUAGGAGGUAUAAUGUAUUAGGGAAGCAAGGGAUUCAGAACCAGGUGCCCACUGACUCUGAGAAGCACUGGGUGCACAGAGGGUAGCAGACAAGCAAGAGGGUGGAAUUUGCAGCAUCUCAUCUUGGUGAGACAGUUGGAAGACUUUUCUGCCAAUUAUAGUGGUUAAACACUGACUCAACAUCAAACAACGGCAUGAGGGGUCAGAGCCUUCAUUCGUGGACAAGUUUCAAAAACAUGGGAGCACCACCUGUCAUGAGCAAUUUAGUCAGAACAGAAGAGAAUAGAUCACACCCAACAAGACAGAAAAAGCUGCUUUCUGGAGAGGGCGGGAGCUAAUAUUUCCUAACACGGUGAAAUUGUGAAGUGCUUUUUGCAGCCCUUCAUAAUUUCAUCAUCCAAAGGGUUUGCUUUUGGAAUUCUUAGACACUUAAUUCUGUCCCUGCUUUCCGUGUCACUUCCACGGGACACUGAAUUUGGGAAGAGGGAGACCUCACCAAUGAUGGGAAGAACAGAUUGGGGGCUGGCGCCCUUUUGGGUUUGCCAUGUGAACAUCCUCCUGGAACAGUCUCCAUUCUGUCCCAGCAAGACACACUCUGCUCUGUGAAGAACCCAGGUGGGAAAAAAAAAAAAAUCUAUGAGGCCACAGUGGAAAUGCAGCUCAGCAGGACUCUCAGGUACCCCAAAAUUGUCCCAUCUGACAACUCACCACAUUCUAUUUAUUUAUUUAUUUAUUUAUUUUGAGAUGGAGUCUCACUGUGUCACCCAGGCUGGAGUGUAGUGGCGUGAUCUAGGCUCACCGCAGCCUACGCCUCCCAGAUUCAAGCGAUUCUCCUGCCUCAGCCUCCCAUGUAGCUGAGACUACAGGCAUGCGCCACCACACCCAGCUAAUUUUUGUAUUUUUAGUAGAGAUGGGGUUUCGCCAUGUUGCCCAGGCUGGUCUCAAACUUCUGACCUCAGGUGAUCCACCCCCGCCCCUCAGCCUCCCAAAGUUCUGGGAUUACAGUCAUGAGACACUGCACCUGGCCAACACAUUCUGUUUUCAUCAUUAGUGCCUGUCCUCCCUGCUAGCUCAUGGGCUCCCCCAGAGCAGGCAUGUUUGCCCUAGUCACCAUCAAAACUGUCUUAGUACCUGUCACGGUGCCUGGCACAUAGCAGUUAUUCAGUAAAUGUUUGUUGAAUAAAUCAACUAUAAACAUCAAAAUGAUUCCCUUAAAAAGGUCUUCAUUCUUGUUCAGAUGUAGAGAGUUACAUUACAAACACUUGUGUGCUGGGGAUAGGAAGGGACACUGUUGGGUAAUAAUAAGUGCUUGAAACAUGUGGGAGGGCCCUGGAAAAUAGCCCAAAAAGUUCACAUUGUAUCUGAUAAGCAACAGGGAGCUACUGCAGGUUCUUCAGGUCACCAGUAGGCAAGCAGGUGGUGGCUUUCCAGGCUGAAAAGUGUAUUUGAUCUGGAAGAUAGUAGGAUCACAGACAAACAGUGAGUCUUGGAGUAGCCUGAUCACAGUGGCAAGCUCAAGAGACAAUUUUAUGGCUGAGGGCUGAAUGUUUCAGCUGGGUGGGUGUCAAGAAACCAGCAAGACUCCAGGCAUGGUGGCUCAUGCCUGUAAUCCCAACACUUAGGGAGGCCGAGACAGAGGAUCCCUUAAGCCCAGGAGUUUGAGACCAGCCUGG
rnacentral:lncRNA from 1 species